UACGUAGGGUCCGGGCGUUGUCCGGAAUCACUGGGCGUAAAGCGCACGUAGGCGGAUUGUUAAGUCAGGGGUGAAAUCCUGGAGCUCAACUCCAGAACUGCCUUUGAUACUGGCGAUCUCGAGUCCGGGAGAGGUGAGUGGAACUGCGAGUGUAGAGGUGAAAUUCGUAGAUAUUCGCAAGAACACCAGUGGCGAAGGCGGACUCACUGGCCCGGUACUGACGCUGAGGUGCGAAAGCGUGGGGAGCAAACAGG
rnacentral:rRNA from 1 species